GGGUGGUAAUACCGGAUGCUCCGCUCCAUCGCAUGGUGGGGUGGGAAAUGCUUUUGCGGCAUGGGAUGGGGUCGCGUCCUAUCAGCUUGUUGGCGGGGUGAUGGCCCACCAAGGCGUUGACGGGUAGCCGGCCUGAGAGGGUGACCGGCCACAUUGGGACUGAGAUACGGCCCAGACUCCUACGGGAGGCAGCAGUGGGGAAUAUUGCACAAUGGGCGCAAGCCUGAUGCAGCGACGCCGCGUGCGGGAUGGAGGCCUUCGGGUUGUAAACCGCUUUUGUUCAAGGGCAAGGCACGGUUUCGGCCGUGUUGAGUGGAUUGUUCGAAUAAGCACCGGCUAACUACGUGCCAGCAGCCGCGGUAAUACGUAGGGUGCGAGCGUUAUCCGGAUUUAUUGGGCGUAAAGGGCUCGUAGGCGGUUCGUCGCGUCCGGUGUGAAAGUCCAUCGCCUAACGGUGGAUCUGCGCCGGGUACGGGCGGGCUGGAGUGCGGUAGGGGAGACUGGAAUUCCCGGUGUAACGGUGGAAUGUGUAGAUAUCGGGAAAGAACACC
rnacentral:rRNA from 1 species